UACGUAGGGUGCAAGCGUUGUCCGGAAUUAUUGGGCGUAAAGGGCUCGUAGGCGGUCCAUCACGUCGGGAGUGAAAAGCUGGGGCUUAACCCCAGUCCUGCUUCCGAUACGGGUGGACUAGAGGUAGGCAGGGGAGAACGGAAUUCCUGGUGGAGCGGUGAAAUGCGUAGAUAUUGGAAAGACCACCGAUGGCGAAGGCACUCUACUGGGCCACUACUGACACUGAGAGACGAAAGCUAGGGGAGCAAAUGGG
rnacentral:rRNA from 1 species